rnacentral:rRNA from 1 species
UACGUAGGUGGCAAGCGUUGUCCGGAGUUAUUGGGCGUAAAGCGCGCGCAGGCGGUGCGGUAAGUCUCUGGUGAAAGCGCUCGGCUUAACUGGGCGAGGGCCGGGGAGACUGCCACGCUGGAGGGGAGCAGAGGCGAGUGGAAUUCCGGGUGUAGUGGUGAAAUGCGUAGAUAUCACUUGGAACGCCGACGGUGAAAACAGUCUGCUGGGAGUCCGCUGACGCUGAGACACGAAAGCCAGGGGAGCGAACGGG